UAUGUGAUCGUCUCUCGCAUAUCAAUAAGCGGAGGAAAAGAAACUAACCAGGAUUCCCCUAGUAACGGCGAGUGAAGCGGGAAGAGCUCAAAUUUGAAAUCUUAAAGGGUUUCCCUUUACGAAUUGUAGUUUAAAGAAGUGUUUUCUGUUGAGGUUUUGGUAAAAGUUCUUUGGAAUAGGACAUCAUAGAGGGUGAGAAUCCCGUAUUUGACCUUUACUUUCAACUUUGUGAUACACUUUCAAAGAGUCGGAUUGUUUGGGAAUGCAGUCCAAAAUGGGUGGUAAAUUUCAUCUAAAGCUAAAUAUUGGCGAGAGACCGAUAGCGAACAAGUACCGUGAGGGAAAGAUGAAAAGAACUUUGAAAAGAGAGUUAAACAGUACGUGAAAUUGUCAAAAGGGAAGCGUUUGACACCAGUGUUGUUUUUCUGAAAAUCAAUUAAAGAACUGUUUAUGCUAAGUUGUUUAGACUUUAUCAGCUAUCUGUUUAGUUUUGAGCUUUUCUUUAAUGCACUUUUCAGUUAACAAGUCAACAUCAAUUUCUUUUGCUGUAAAAAAGCUUGAGGAAGGUGGCUUGAGAUUCGUCUUAAGUGUUUAUAGCCUCUUGCCUAUGCAGUCGGAGAGAUUGAGGUCUGCAGCGUAGAUCCUUCGGGGCUAAAUGCAUUUGUGCUAAGUUAUAGCAUUUUAUAGACAACUUGUUGACUAUGAUUUGUCUCGUAGCUUACUCGCUUAUGUUAUUUUACCUACGCUUAGGAUGUUGACUGAUAUGUAGUCGUA
rnacentral:rRNA from 1 species